rnacentral:lncRNA from 1 species
GCGCUAUCCCAUUAUUCCUCAUGGUAUUCAGAAUCUCUAAUGCCCUGCUCGUUUUGCCUCUUAAACAAAAUCCAUCCAUUAGUGUGUUGUAGGUGAUAACAUCAGGAGGUACACUUUUCUCGAUCAUAAUAUCAAUAACAUCUUGAGCAUCUUUUGUCCUCCCUUCUUUGCAGUAUGCAUCAACUAAUAUAUUAUAGGUGUGCAAAUCUGAAGGGAUGUUCCUAACACCCAUCUCAGUUAACAAACGCUCAGUGUCCUCCCAUCGGCCUGAGCUGCAAAGACCUUGAAGUAAGCUGUUAUAGGUUAUAACAUUAGGUGAUAUGCCUUUGUGUGUCAUUACAGACACAAGAUCCAAUGCAUUAUCGACUCGUCUUUCUUUGCACAAAGAAUCAAUAAUCGAGGUAUAAGUUAUCGCAUUGGGUCUACAACCUAAAUUCUCCAUCUUUCUUAACAACUUGAGAGCCGUGGAAGUAUUUGAAGUUUUGCAGAGACCAUCAAUGAUGGUGCUAUACAUAACUACAUUGGGCUGAAUUUCUCGAAAUCUGAUAAGCUUCCUAAAUAAAUGAUCAGCCUCCAAAGGCUUGUCUUGAGAUAGAAGGCCCUUGAUGAGAGUGGCGUAGGUAAAGACAUCGGGCACCCAACCACUCUUGAUGAUUCCAGCAAGCAACGAAAAGGCAUAAUCAAGUGUAUUCAAGUGACAACAGGAAUGGAUGAUGGUAUUAAAGGUAACAAUAUCAACAGGAAUGCUUAAAACACGCAUUUCUCUAAACAUGGAGACGGCAACAGAGUAUUCUUUCAUCCGAACAAGGGCGGUUAAGAGUUGGCUGAACUUAAUAACGGGAAGCAGAGGUUUUAUUUGAAGCAUUUUAUCAAACACCUCAAGAGCAUCGUCAAGUUUAUUAAAACCAACCUUGGAUUUCUCAUAAAGUAACUGCUGAAGUUGCGGAUGAGUGGUGGAUGAAGAUGGGAUAAAGGGCCUUUUGGGUUCUGAAUUAGUAGAGAAAGGAAGAAAAUGAGAAUGAAAAAGAGAUGAACAAGUGAAAGCAUGAAAUAGAGCUCCUCUCUUGACCAACAUGCCAGCCAUUGCUCAACCGUCUUUCUCUUUCUCUUUCAGGCGUGUAUAGAUAGAUUAUUAUUAGAACGGUUUUUCUAAUAGAGGCAGAUGUGCACACACUAAACAUCAAAUUUUAUAAAUUUUGUGGUUUUUGAUUGGCUCAUACUUCUUUAUAAUGAUGGACUUCCUGCAAAUUCACCAAUCACACCAAUCAAAAUCCACCAAAAUUAUAGAAUUUGAUGCUUAGUAUGUGUUCAUGGGCACACACUGGUCAAACCCUAUUAGAAUAGGGAAUAUGUUUCAACUAAGAUAGGUUUUAAAUUGUUAAUUUCUUUUAAUUAUAUCCAGAUAUCAGAACCAUGGAUCCAAACACAGAAAAUAUUUGGAGCUCCGUUGAAACCAGUUUUUUAAAUAUGAAACAUCAUGUAAAAAUAUUAUUUUCAAUAUUUUAGUAUUUUGUUAACAACAUUUCUACUGGAAUUCGAUUUUCUUAGUUUCUACAACUCCGAAUCCUAGUGUGAGUGAAUGCAUGGAUCAAAUAUUCUCCAUAUAUAAACUCAUGCAUGUGUACAUGGCCCAAAAAUAAAUUAUUUAUAGGUAAUAUUUUUUCCCGGUUCCAAACCAUACUAGUGCACGAAGGUUUCGAUGACCAAAUCCACAAUUUUGCUUGAAUAAAUACUAUUAGCCGGUUAUCGUCUUACUUGAAUACAAUCAGCUGGUUAUUGUCCGGCUUAAGCAGGCAGAUAUGAACAAUUAGCAAGGCUUAUUGGGAUCAUCCACACAAAAUGUGCAGAGUAUUUGGUUAUUCAGUGUCCGAACCGAAUUAUUUGGUAACCGAAUAAGCUCAGACAAAUAACCCGUAGUAAUAUAAUUUGGCGAGAAGAAAUGACAUUACUAGUACUAUCAUAUUAAGCCUAGACAAAUAACCCAUAGUAGUAUAUUCAUUCAACAGAUGGCGCAUCACUACAUCAGUACAUCACCAAAUGUAGCCAGCAAGUUUGAACAACAGUUUGCAACAGCCAAGACCCGGAAGCAACUCCAAUAUAAACUAAACACUCCAGCACUAGCACCGUAUUAGACAGCAUUACAGCAACACUGCAACAGACCUUUCACAACAGCAGGUCAGCAACUUCGGUUCUAUUCAGAUUUAAGCAAACAAAGAGCCACCACAAUUCAAUCAGCAAUUCAUACUUCCUUUCGAAACAGUGCCAGACUGCAGAAAUUACUAAAUUGACAGAAAACUGAAGACUGCGGAAUAAAUAAAAAAAGAGCAUUAGAAUUUAUUUAAGCAAAAUUGCAGACCGGUUCUUCCAGAAAACUAGUUCCUUUACUAAAAACAGUGGCAGACUGCAAAAUAGUUCCUUUACAAAUUUUUCCAAAACCUAUCAAAAACAUUCACUUAUCACUUCAAUAUACUUAAAAAAAAAUUUGAAAUUGCCGACUGCAGGAAGAAAACAACUCAUCAUGCAGUAUAGCUUUGUACAUAUAGGAGAUGGAAAGCGAAACAAAGCAAGCAAUCACAAAUUCACAAUCCAUAUAGUUAAAAAAGUAUUUCUUACGCAUCGGCUAUGUAAAUUUGAUGGGUAGAUUAAUCUGCUACAAUUAUACAGCAACUGAACAUCCAAGAACAACAAACUAGCACAACAACUAUUAGCAAAACAACACAGGCUAACUGGAUCCAUUUAAAAUAUGAUACUGAAUAUUUUGUGUAUUAAUUAUCACAUCAUAAAUGAUGAAAUAUAUAGAAAAAUAGGUGAAAAGAGAGUUUUUAUAAUUGUUGCAUCACCAAAAAAAUGAAAAAUAUACAAGUAUUGGACCUAUGAAUAAUUACUUUUUCUGGGAAAAAUAUAAGAGCGGGUAGGACAUGCCAAACAUGAUACGUACGAUAUCGAUUUUCACAAAGGUCAAUUUACAUCAUAAGUUGCCAUCUUUAAAAUAUCAGAUGUGGGAAUUUCUAGCAAACAUACGCUAACUUCCAUUCUAACUAGUAAUUCUUUGCUUCCUCGUAUAACUUUUUAACAUAAUCCUCUAGUCAAUAUGUUAUGUGUUAUGGCAUUGGGUUUCAAAUCCAUCCAUAAGCAUAUUGUAGGUGGGUUUAUAUCUAUUUACAUCUUUAAAAUUAAUAUUAUGAGUGUUAAAAUUUAAUAUUUAUCUAGGUGGUUCUGUUGCUGCUCAUACAAAACGCAAAAGAUGGGACUAAAUAUUCAAGUUUUCAAAUUUUACUCGCAUAGGAGUAAAGACGACGUAUUCAUACUUUUCUGAUCAUUCUUCUGCACUUCUAGUAAGCAGUCCUCAAUAUCAAACAGGAAGCAUUAAUGAGGGACUAGGAGAUGGACUUCAGUUAUCCAGCAUCUGACGUAGAGACCUUCAGAACUAUUUGACUGAUCUUCUCAAAUCAAGACUGUGCUCAAGCUGUUCGCGUGAUCAUUUUUCUGCACAAUAUCAAACAGGAAGCAUAACACAUGAGGGACUACACAGAUUAGGGAGAAAAUAUUGCGCAGCCAUAAAAAGUUUCACCUAACAAACCGAAACUUAAUUUUGCACAUUAAGUUAUUAGAACCAGAGAAAUACAAUAUUAUUCAAAAAGCCAACUUUUUUUCCAAGACAAAUAGCCUAAUAUCACCGUUUUGUCUCUGCCAAAGCCACAUCGAUGAAACAAGGAGAACAUGAGAAGAACAUAACCACAUAAAACUAUAUUCUUGCGAACACUCUAUAACACAAAUCUCUGGAGGUUCGACGCAGACUCUCGCUUCCUAGCGUUCUAUAACAUAUACACCACAAUUUGGUUUUACGGCUUUUAGUAGCAAGCAGAAUCAAUAGUAUCACAACAUAGAAAUUCAAAAAAUAAUGCCAUUAUAUAAAACUAAAGUUAUCUGAUAUAUGCAUUAUAGAGGUAGUAAAGACUACAGAGGCUUCUUUUAUUAUUUUUAAAUGCUGAUUUCUUUUUCCGUAUUAUGGGAAGCGUCGAAAUGCUAGAUUUCAAUUCGGAAUGACAACUUGAACAUAGACUGUCCUUAAUACAUAUAGAAGAGAUAGUAUUACCGUCUCUAAUCCAUUGUCUAUUAUCUCUAAACAAACUGACGGUACUCCUUAAGUUGCAAAUAGAUAAAUUCUUUACUCAGCAAAACAUAUUACUAUAGCAGAUAACUUAAAUAAGUUAGGAGAUGAUAACACAUAAGAAUGAACCAUAAAUUUCAGACCUAUUGCAGAAACCAUUUGGCAAAAGCAAGAACGGCAGGGUCCUGUUCUUCCUGUUCUUUCUGUUCUUCUUUAGGUAAUAGGUCGACUACCAUGGAUGUGGUAGAUGCAUCCGCUGAGAAAUUGUGAGCUCGCAUGUUCUCAAUCAGUACAACUGCUUCUUCGUAUCUUUUAUUCAAAAGGCUUCCACGGAUGAUCGUGUUGUAAGUCACAUCGUCAGGCAAACAACCACUAGUUUCCAUUUCAGAAAGUAAUAUCUUUGCUUCCUCAAAUAACCCUCCUUGACAAUAGCCAUUUAUCAGAAUGGUAUAGCUAUAACAAUCUGGAGCUAUCCCAUUACUCCUCAUGGUAUUCAGCACCUCUAGCGCCCUGUCCAUUUUGCCUGUUAAACAAUAUCCAUCCAUUAGUGUGCUGUAGGUGAUUACAUCAGGAGGUACACUUUUCUCGAUCAUAAUAUCAAUAACAUCUUGUGCAUCUUUUGUCCUCCCUUGUUUGCAGUAUGCAUUAACUAAUAUACUAUAGGUAUGCAAAUCAGGACGGAUCUUCUGAGCACCCAUCUCACUUAACAAUGGCUCAAUGUCCUCCCAUCGGCUAGAGAUGCAAAGACCUUGAAUUAAUAUGGUAUAGGUUAUAACAUUUGGUGGAAUGCCUUUAACGAUCAUUUCAGACACAAGAUCCAAUGCAUGAUCGACUCGUCUCUCUUUGCACAAAGAAUCAAUAAUCAAGGUAUAAGUUAUAGUAUUGGGUCUGCAACCUAUCUCCUCCAUCUUUCUUAACAGCUUGAGAGCCAUGGAGGUAUUUGAAGUUUUGCAGAGACCUUUAAUGACGGUGUUAUAAGUAACUACAUCAGGAUGAAUUUCUUCAUAUGUUAUAAGCUUGUAAAACAAAUCCCCAGCUUCCAAAGGCCUGUCUUGAGAUAGAAGGCCCUUGAUGAGAGGGUUGUAGGUAAAGACAUUAGGUGAUAUGCCUUUGUGGGGCAUUUCAGACACAAGAUCCAAUGCAUGAUCGACUCGUCUCUCUUUGCACAAAGAAUCAAUAAUCGAGGUAUAAGUUAUAGUAUCGGGUCUGCAACCUAUCUCCUCCAUCUUUCUUAACAGCUUGAGAGCCAUGGAGGUAUUUGAAGUUUUGCAGAGACCAUCAAUGACGGUGUUAUAAGUAACUACAUCAGGAUGAAUUUCUUCAUAUGUUAUA